rnacentral:lncRNA from 1 species
GAGAAUUAGAAAGACAGGAGACAGGAGGAGGAAUCGAGGAGCUAUGUCCUAAAGCUGGCCUGGGAGUGGAAGACAGUCACUGCUUCACGUGAGUCUGAGAGGGAAAUAUGGGUGGGGACAUGAAUUUAUUGGUGAGGAAGUGGAAAAUUUUCAGAGCUCUUACUUGAUGGCUUCUAUUUCCUCUGAAGCAGGAGGCGAGGUCAUGUGCUGAAAAAGAGAAGGGCAGGAGGAGGCGAGGGAGCUCGGAAGCUGCAGUGCUUUCACGUUCUCCGGGCCCGGGGCACAUGCUCUUCAGCCUGGGAGCGUCCCCUUCCUCUCUAGGCUGAAGGUCUUCAGGGCGGUGUCAGGUAAGGCAAGGGGCGAGGGAGCCGCGGGUCUUCAUAAGACGUGCAUGAAAUGGUCACAGCUUGAAGCCCACAGACUCUCCUGUUCUCCUCCCUCUGCCCCAUCUGGCUUCUUCCUGUAGUGUAGCGGAGCCCCUGCACUCCGUUAACUCCUAAAACCUCUGUCCGCUUCUCUUCGCCACCACCGUUCCUCUGAUGAGGCUGUUCUGG